rnacentral:rRNA from 1 species
ACCUCGGAAGGAUCAUUG